AGAAGUGUGAAGGCCAGGGCUUCCAUAACACCUCAGCAGUGCCACAGGCUGAUCACCUCCAUGCCACACCACAUUGAUGCAGUAACUCCUACAAAAGUAGCCC